GAAGGUGUGCUGUGAGGCAUGCUGGAGGUAUCAGAAGUGCGAAUGCUGACAUAAGUAACGAUAAAGCGGGUGAAAAGCCCGCUCGCCGGAAGACCAAGGGUUCCUGUCCAACGUUAAUCGGGGCAGGGUGAGUCGACCCCUAAGGCGAGGCCGAAAGGCGUAGUCGAUGGGAAACAGGUUAAUAUUCCUGUACUUGGUGUUACUGCGAAGGGGGGACGGAGAAGGCUAUGUUGGCCGGGCGACGGUUGUCCCGGUUUAAGCGUGUAGGCUGGUUUUCCAGGCAAAUCCGGAAAAUCAAGGCUGAGGCGUGAUGACGAGGCACUACGGUGCUGAAGCAACAAAUGCCCUGCUUCCAGGAAAAGCCUCUAAGCAUCAGGUAACAUCAAAUCGUACCCCAAACCGACACAGGUGGUCAGGUAGAGAAUACCAAGGCGCUUGAGAGAACUCGGGUGAAGGAACUAGGCAAAAUGGUGCCGUAACUUCGGGAGAAGGCACGCUGAUAUGUAGGUGAAGCGACUUGCUCGUGGAGCUGAAAUCAGUCGAAGAUACCAGCUGGCUGCAACUGUUUAUUAAAAACACAGCACUGUGCAAACACGAAAGUGGACGUAUACGGUGUGACGCCUGCCCGGUGCCGGAAGGUUAAUUGAUGGGGUCAGCGCAAGCGAAGCUCUUGAUCGAAGCCCCGGUAAACGGCGGCCGUAACUAUAACGGUCCUAAGGUAGCGAAAUUCCUUGUCGGGUAAGUUCCGACCUGCACGAAUGGCGUAAUGAUGGCCAGGCUGUCUCCACCCGAGACUCAGUGAAAUUGAACUCGCUGUGAAGAUGCAGUGUACCCGCGGCAAGACGGAAAGACCCCGUGAACCUUUACUAUAGCUUGACACUGAACAUUGAGCCUUGAUGUGUAGGAUAGGUGGGAGGCUUUGAAGUGUGGACGCCAGUCUGCAUGGAGCCGACCUUGAAAUACCACCCUUUAAUGUUUGAUGUUCUAACGUUGACCCGUGAUCCGGGUUGCGGACAGUGUCUGGUGGGUAGUUUGACUGGGGCGGUCUCCUCCUAAAGAGUAACGGAGGAGCACGAAGGUUGGCUAAUCCUGGUCGGACAUCAGGAGGUUAGUGCAAUGGCAUAAGCCAGCUUGACUGCGAGCGUGACGGCGCGAGCAGGUGCGAAAGCAGGUCAUAGUGAUCCGGUGGUUCUGAAUGGAAGGGCCAUCGCUCAACGGAUAAAAGGUACUCCGGGGAUAACAGGCUGAUACCGCCCAAGAGUUCAUAUCGACGGCGGUGUUUGGCACCUCGAUGUCGGCUCAUCACAUCCUGGGGCUGAAGUAGGUCCCAAGGGUAUGGCUGUUCGCCAUUUAAAGUGGUACGCGAGCUGGGUUUAGAACGUCGUGAGACAGUUCGGUCCCUAUCUGCCGUGGGCGCUGGAGAACUGAGGGGGGCUGCUCCUAGUACGAGAGGACCGGAGUGGACGCAUCACUGGUGUUCGGGUUGUCAUGCCAAUGGCACUGCCCGGUAGCUAAAUGCGGAAGAGAUAAGUGCUGAAAGCAUCUAAGCACGAAACUUGCCCCGAGAUGAGUUCUCCCUGACUCCUUGAGAGUCCUGAAGGAACGUUGAAGACGACGACGUUGAUAGGCCGGGUGUGUAAGCGCAGCGAUGCGUUGAGCUAACCGGUACUAAUGAACCGUGAGGCUUAACCUU
rnacentral:rRNA from 1 species